AACACCGGAAAACUCACCAAGGGCGACUGUUACAUGAAAGCCAGGCUAAUGACCUUGCUUGAUUUUCAGAGAGGUGGUGCAUGGCCGUCGUCAGUUCGUACCGUAAGGCGUUCUCUUAAGUGAGAUAACGAACGAGACCCUCACUAAUAAUUGCUACUUCGAUCUCCGGACCGGAGGCACAUUAUUGGGACCGCUGGCGCUAAGUCAGAGGAAGGAGAGGUCAACGGUAGGUCAGUAUGCCCCGAAUCUCUUGGGCUACACGCGCGCUACAAAGGGCGGGACAAUGGGCUCCGACGCCGAAAGGCGAAGGUAAUCUCGAAACCCGUCCAUAGUUCGGAUUGAGGGUUGUAACUCACCCUCAUGAAGCUGGAUUCCGUAGUAAUCGCGAAUCAACAACUCGCGGUGAAUAUGCCCCUGCUCCUUGCACACACCGCCCGUCAAACCAUCCGAGUUGGGUUUCAGUGAGGUCACCUCUAAUUAGGGUGUUCGAACUGAGAUUUAGCAAGGAAGGUUAAGUCGU
rnacentral:rRNA from 1 species